rnacentral:rRNA from 1 species
CCUAACACAUGCAAGUCGGACGCGAACAGGGCUUCGGCCCUAAGUAGAGUGGCGCACGGGUGAGUAACGCGUAGGUAAUCUACCUCUGGAUUGGGGAUAACUCUGCGAAAGCGGAGCUAAUACCGAAUGGUCUGGCUUUAUUUUGAUGAAGUCGGUAAAGGAUGCCUCUGCAUAUGCAUCUGUCCGGAGAUGAGCCUGCGUCCCAUUAGCUAGUUGGUAGGGUAAAGGCCUACCAAGGCGACGAUGGGUAGCUGGUCUGAGAGGAUGAUCAGCCACACUGGAACUGGAACACGGUCCAGACUCCUACGGGAGGCAGCAGUGGGGAAUAUUGGGCAAUGGGCGCAAGCCUGACCCAGCAACGCCGUGUGAGGGAUGAAGGCCUUCGGGUCGUAAACCUCUGUCAGAAGGGAAGAACGGGCACAGUUCGAAUAGGGCUGUGUUUUGACGGUACCUUCAGAGGAAGCACCGGCUAACUCCGUGCCAGCAGCCGCGGUAAUACGGAGGGUGCGAGCGUUAUUCGGAAUCACUGGGCGUAAAGGGCGCGUAGGCGGCCUGGUAAGUCAGGGGUGAAAUCCCACGGCUCAACCGUGGAAUUGCCUUUGAAACUGCUGGGCUUGGAUCCUGGAGAGGGUGGCGGAAUUCCUGGUGUAGGAGUGAAAUCCGUAGAUAUCAGGAGGAACACCGGUGGCGAAGGCGGCCGCCUGGACAGGUAUCGACGCUGAGGCGCGAAAGUGUGGGGAGCAAACAGGAUUAGAUACCCUGGUAGUCCACACCGUAAACGAUGGAUACUAGGUGUUGGGGGCAUGACCCUCAGUGCCGGAGCUAACGCNU